UAGAAUUUUUUCAGUUAUCUGUAGCGGUGAAAUUCGUAAUUUUAACUUCGAUCUGGAUUGCUGUGCUACCGUACUAUAGUGUAACUGUUAGGCUCUGUUUGGACAGUAGCGGCUCAAGUAUUUAUUCUUUUUUAGGGCAGGUGAAGGUUGAGAAAUGAGCCAUGUUUUAGAGAGAUAGAUAGAUUCUUGAAUGACUACAAUCUGUGACGUGAAAGAUUUUUAAUAGGUCCGAUUAAACAGUCAAUACCAUCACGAUAAAGGUCAAAACUCAAUGUUGAAAGUCACAGGCAAUAUGAAUUUUGUUGUGGGCAGUCUAGGUUUUGAAGUUUCAGUUAUACAGUUCAUGUCUCCUUUAGAAAUUUUUGAUAAAUGCUUGAUAAGAUUCAAGAUGCUUGCAUGUCAACUGGAAAUUGGGAUCUUGGAUAUAUAGGGCAGUGGCCAGUGAGUUAGUCAAUGGUGUUUUGUUUUUGUUGCGUUGGCACUGUCCUUUAUUUGUGUGGGGUUAGUUACAAAUCUGAUUAAGAAUGUUAAUUAUUUUGCUUCCGAAAUUUCUUUUCGUGCAUGCAUAAGAUACAAUUAUUUGAUUAUUUGGAAGGUUUUCAAACUCUUAGGAUCAAUGUUUCAGUUCCUUGGACAACUCUACAAGUUAUAUACUAGAACCAUUGCCUUGGUAUGGUAUUACCUGGUAUGAUGUUGACCAAUGUGGUGAAGCUUCAAAAACAUCUAAAA